rnacentral:rRNA from 1 species
GUCGUAACAAGGUUUCCGUAGGUGAACCUGCGGAAGGAUCAUUCACACACAAACGUGUUGCUAAUCCACACCUAUCACCGUUGAACUUUCAAGUGUGAGCUCGCGCUUGGCCUUGCACGCCGAGCAGCGCUGCUCGAGGGCGGCGAGGGUGACGGGCACCACGCGAUUCCCGAAUGAGGGAAGGCGCCGAAAGCAAUGUCGGUUGCCGGUGCGCUGUUGUCUUUUUGUCGCCGGACUCUGCGAACUCUUCUUGCGAGUUGUGCUCUCACUGCCCCGUCGGCGGCGACCGCCGCGUGGUGAAUGCUUUGGUUACAACUUUCAGCGAUGGAUGUCUAGGCUCAAACGUCGAUGAAGGGCGCAGCGAAGUGUGAUAUGCAUUGCGACUUGCAGAAUUCCGUGAACCAACAGGGAUUUGAACGUAUACUGCGCUUUUGGGAUAGCCCCGAGAGCAUGCCUGCUUCAGAGUCAACUUUGGUCUCAUGCUGCCGGUGCGUCCCUCGGCAGGGGGGCGCUGUGAGUCGGCAGGCCGCGUCUGUGCACCAAGGAGCCCUGUGCCCUUGAUGCAUGCAGAGCAUCUGCCCGCCGAGCGGUGCGCAACUGACAGAAUGCGAUUGUCGCUGCCUGUUGCUGUUGAACGACCCUCGGUGAGUUGGUCGGUUGAUUUGGUUUGAAAGGUUGAUUGUGUGGCGUCACUUGGCCCACGGCGUGGCUAAUUCUUUGAUAUGAAGUCAGGUCAGCAAACCCGCUGAAUUUAAGCAUAUAAGUAAGCGGUGGAUAAGAAACUAAACAGGAUUCCCUCAGUAAUGGCGAAUGAACAGGGACAAGCUCAGCAUUGAAAUUUGGGCCCUCGGCCUUGAAUUGUAAUUUCGAGAUGUGCAACCAAUGGAGGCGCAGGUGGAAGCCGCUUGGAAAGGCGCACCGGCGAGGGUGAGAGUCCCGUACGUCACUUGCAGUCCUCUGUGUACGGUGUAGCUUCUAAGAGUCACGUUCCUCGGGCUUGGAGCGCCAACGGUGGUAAAUUUCAUCUAAAGCUAAAUACAAGUUUGAGACCGAUAGCAAACAAGUACCAUGAGGGAAAGAUGAAAAGGACUUUGGAAAGAGAGUUAAAAGUGCCUGAAAUUGCUGAAAGGGAAGCGAAUGGAAUCAGUGUUUCUUGGCGAGAUUGUUACGUGCCAAGUGGAUAGCCGGUUGCUUCAACGCAAGUGUGGUUGCUGGCUCUGAUGCAGCCGCGUGCGGUGCUUCUUGCCUUGCUAGUCAACGUCAAUUUGGAGUUGAGGAAAACUCAAGGUAAAUGGUAGUUUGCCUACGGGUGACCGAGUGUGCCUUGCAGAACUCAUCAUUGGAUUGAAUGAUGACAAAAUGGUUUCACUCGACCCGUCUUGAAACACGGACCAAGGAGUCUAACAUAUGUGCAAGUUCCCGGGUGGCCAAACCUGCUGGCAUAAUGAAAGCGACUGCUGGGAUCCUUGCACCAGCAACCGACCAAUCGACUUUGAGAGGUUUGAGUACGAGCACAUCUGUUAGGACCCGAAAGAUGGUGAACUAUGCGUGA